UAGAGGCUCAGGUUUAUUUAUGUUGCCAUAGCAUCGGCAAUUACUGUGAAGAAAAAUCUAAUUAAAAUCUCCUAACACGUCAAGAGUUUGUUCAGCUAAAGAAAAUCAAAGCAUGACCUCUCCAAGCUUGGAAUGAUAGGUGACUAGCGGAAGGAGAACUCUGCAGAAAGCUGCCCUCGUUUGGCUCAGCACGACGUUCAAGCUGCUGAUAUGGCUGCAACCCCUUUUCGCAACCCAGAAACUGCAGCAGGAAUUUGAAAGAACCUAAUUAAAAUGGGCAUUUCUGGGCCUCCGGGGGAGAGUGACUUGCUGGAGUUGGUAACAUGGGCACAGUGGCAAUGCCGUGUCAAAAGCAAUGCAUCAUUUCCCACUUGGUUUUAUGACUGCUUUAAGCUCCUUGGUGUAUUGUGCUAAGGAGCCUAACAUGGGGGAAACAAUGCCAAGUAAGAAACAGAUGCUCCCACAGCAAUUAUCUGAGCAAGUGCAGGAUCCUACAUGUUGACAAAAUAAUGGCGAGAAGGUGAAUGUGUUAAAAUGAGUAAAAAGCAAAUAAUCAGUGACUAGAUUGCGAGGAAUGUUCUGCAUGUACCAGUGGAACGUGCAGCAUCCAUCACAGCCAUGUGCAAACCAGAGAGCAGAUUAAUGAGCCUGAAGAAGAAGAAAUUGGCCUUCAGGUUGAUUUUCUAGCCCACCUGGUUUAAUAACCAGAUCCAAAUCCAGCUUCUUAACAAGGCUCUGAGAUGCUACGUGCUGCCAAAGAAUGACACUAAAUAAAACACAAAUCUCAAGAAAACAAAGGGCCAGAUUCUACUCUCAGGGCUUCUCUACAUACAAUCUUGCACCAGUUUAUUAAACUGGUUCCAAGCUCCUGUGUGGACCCACUUAGGCUUGGUCUACAUUGAAAAGAUGAACCUGUAUAACUAUGCAGACAAUACCUCCUAAUGUAGAUGCAGCUUACGCAAGCAAUUAAGCAAAAGUGCCUUUGACAGUAGGGUUUAUACCAGUUCAGGGAGUGAAAUAUGCUCUACUGGUCAAAGCCAGUCUAACUGUCUACGCUAGAGCUUUUGCCAGUAUAGAAAUGUUGCAUAAAAAUC